rnacentral:snRNA from 1 species
GUGCACACUUUGACAGCACACACACUAAACUGGAACAAACAGAAAAGACUAGCAUGCAUGGCCCCUGUGCCAGGAUGACAAGCAAAUUCAUGAAGAGUUCCAUAUUUGA